UGACAGAAGCAAUCUGCCCGUGUCAUCCUC
rnacentral:piRNA from 1 species